AUGCAGAGGUGCUUUUUCCCUUGCUCUGGACUUUGUGGCAGGAAAACGACUUCAGCAGCUUUACAAGAGGAGAGAGAUCAGCUCCACAAAAAUUAUUUUAGACCUAUGCCAGCAGCUGCCCAACACACUCAAAUAAAGCCCCAAAUGGAGCGUGGGCCUCCUGAGAAAAACUGCAACCUAUUUCUCAAGCGGCCAGGACGAGGUCCGGAUGAAAGCUGUGAAAUUUCAGCGGCGCUUUUGCAGAGUAUCCCGGUGACUGAGAUAGAAGACAAGACCCUGCAUCUUCUUCUGACUGAACGCUCAGAGCCAGCAUGGCCAUCCCAUCCGGACAAAGGUAGCCCAAGGGAGAACGCUGGCAAGCUCUAG
rnacentral:lncRNA from 1 species